CGGGGCAUGCUGGGAGUUGUAGUCCGGGCGGGCUGAGGGAAGACGCGGGCUGAGGGGAGCGCACGGGCCGCGGCGGGGAUCCCCCCCCGGGCUCGGCACCCGGGACACCCAGCGCCCGGCCCCGGCUCUGGGAGACGGGCUGCGGGCCGCACGGUGAGCGCAGGGCCGGGCCCGCGGCGGGAGAGCAGAGCAACCCGGCCUUGUGUGUGUGACCCCCCCACCUCCUCCUCACCCUCCUGCCCCGUCACCUCACCUCACACUUCUGAGUAAAAUUCAGCCUACGGAAACAUCUGGAAUAUUGUGUCCAGUUGUGGCCCCUCAGCUCCAGCAGGACAGGGAACUGCUGGAGAGAGUCCAGCGCAGCCACCAAGAUGCUGAAGGGAGUGGAGCAUCUCCCGUGUGAGGAAAGGCUGAGGGAGCUGGGGCUCUGGAGCUGGACAAGAGGACACUGAGGGGGGACUCAUUCAUGUUUACAGAUAUCUAAAGGGCCCCUUUUAAGUACAGAAACGCCAAUUUUGGGAAGGGGCUGGCGCCCCCCGCCAAGCCAGUCUCUGCUUUGGGAACACAAAUAAGCAUUUUAAUUUUUCCUGCAAGAACAAGCGUGAAAAAUCCCCUUUAAACCUUCCAGGAGGGACCAGCAGCACCAGCCAGCACACGUGGCUACGAGGGUGGAAGAUGCUGGUGACGCCCGUGGGACACGCUCAGCCUCAGUGACACCGAGUCUCGGAGCCUCCAACAUGAUUUGGGGGCUCUUUAACAGCUCAUUUUACCCCCCACCAGCCACAUAUCGUCCUGUCCCAACAGCAG